rnacentral:rRNA from 1 species
GAUGAACGCUGGCGGCGUGCCUAAUACAUGCAAGUCGAGCGAACGGACGAGAAGCUUGCUUCUCUGAUGUUAGCGGCGGACGGGUGAGUAACACGUGGAUAACCUACCUAUAAGACUGGGAUAACUUCGGGAAACCGGAGCUAAUACCGGAUGAUAUUUUGAACCGCAUGGUUCAAAAGUGAAAGACGGUCUUGCUGUCACUUAUAGAUGGAUCCGCGCUGCAUUAGCUAGUUGGUAAGGUAACGGCUUACCAAGGCAACGAAGCAUAGCCGACCUGAGAGGGUGAUCGGCCACACUGGAGCUGAGACACGGUCCAGACUCCUACGGGAGGCAGCAGUAGGGAAUCUUCCGCAAUGGGCGAAAGCCUGACGGAGCAACGCCGCGUGAGUGAUGAAGGUCUUCGGAUCGUAAAACUCUGUUAUUAGGGAAGAACAUAUGUGUAAGUAACUGUGCACAUCUUGACGGUACCUAAUCAGAAAGCCACGGCUAACUACGUG